AACAUGACGGAGCAGCAUGGCGGCCUCAGUAAAGAGGACCCGGUCCCUAUGUAAAUAUAAACGACUCAUUCUAAGCUAACAAAAACACAACAAUUCUUACUUUCAGGUGAUUAUACACUAAAGAAAGCAUAGUUAUGAAUAUUAUAUUCCACUUCUGCUAAUAGAUCCCCCGAAAUGUUGCACUCUGUUCCUUUAAGUCAAUCCACAUUUUGUGG